GACGAACGCUGGCGGCGUGCCUAAUACAUGCAAGUAGAACGCACAGUUUAUACCGUAGCUUGCUACACCAUAGACUGUGAGUUGCGAAUGGGUGAGUAACGCGUAGGUAACCUGCCUGGUAGCGGGGGAUAACUAUUGGAAACGAUAGCUAAUACCGCAUAAUAUUGAUUAUUGCAUGAUAAUUGAUUGAAAGAUGCUAUUGCAUCACUACCAGAUGGACCUGCGUUGUAUUAGCUAGUAGGUGAGGUAACGGCUCACCUAGGCGACGAUACAUAGCCGACCUGAGAGGGUGAUCGGCCACACUGGGACUGAGACACGGCCCAGACUCCUACGGGAGGCAGCAGUAGGGAAUCUUCGGCAAUGGACGAAAGUCUGACCGAGCAACGCCGCGUGAGUGAAGAAGGUUUUCGGAUCGUAAAGCUCUGUUGUAAGAGAAGAACGGGUGUGAGAGUGGAAAGUUCACACUGUGACGGUAUCUUACCAGAAAGGGACGGCUAACUACGUG
rnacentral:rRNA from 1 species